UCUAUACAUGACUCUGCGCAUAUCAAUAAGCGGAGGAAAAGAAACUAACAAGGAUUCCCUUAGUAACGGCGAGUGAAGCGGGAAGAGCUCAAAUUUGAAAUCUUCAAGGUUCUACCUUGACGAAUUGUAGUUUAUAGAAGUGUUUUCUGUUAGUGGAGUGGCAAAAGUUCUUUGGAAUAGGACAUCAUAGAGGGUGAGAAUCCCGUAUUUGGUCAUUCCUCCUAGCGUUGUGAUACACUUUCAACGAGUCGGAUUGUUUGGGAAUGCAGUCCAAAAUGGGUGGUAAAUUUCAUCUAAAGCUAAAUAUUGGCGAGAGACCGAUAGCGAACAAGUACCGUGAGGGAAAGAUGAAAAGAACUUUGAAAAGAGAGUUAAACAGUACGUGAAAUUGUCAAAAGGGAAGCGUUUGACACCAGUGUUGUUUUUCCGAAAAUCAAUUACGAAUGUUUUGUUUUUAAGGAGUUAUGACUUCAUCGGCUUGCUCCUUUCUUUAUGAAACUUUCUUAAUGCACUUUUCGGUUAACAAGUCAACAUCAAUUUCUUUUGUUGUAAAAGGGUAUGAGGAAGGUGGCUUUCUUUUCGGAGAAAGUGUUUAUAGCCUUGUGCCUCUGCAAUCGGAGAGAUUGAGGUCUGCAGCGUAGAUCCUUCGGGGUUAGAUACGUUUGUGCUAAGUUAUAGCUUUUCAUAGACAACUUGUUGACUAUGUUUAGUCUUGUAGCUUACUCGCUUACGCUAUUUUACCUACGCUUAGGAUGUUGAAGAUAUGCGCGACACGACUCUAUACAUGACUCUGCGCAUUCAAUAAGCGGAGGAAAAGAGGGCUAUUACCUACGCUUAGGAUGUUGAAGAUAUGCGCGACACG
rnacentral:rRNA from 1 species